UACGUAGGGUGCGAGCGUUAAUCGGAAUUACUGGGCGUAAAGCGUGCGCAGGCGGCGCGUUAAGACGGGUGUGAAAGCCCCGAGCUUAACUUGGGAAUUGCGCUUGUGACUGGCGUGCUGGAGUGUGGCAGAGGGAGGUGGAAUUCCACGUGUAGCAGUGAAAUGCGUAGAGAUGUGGAGGAACACCGAUGGCGAAGGCAGCCU
rnacentral:rRNA from 1 species